UUUUUUCCAUUCACAGAGCAUGCGCAGUAAAAACAAAUGUAUUGCUAUUGGGAGCUGGACCACUUUUACAGCUGGGCCGCCCAGUCGGAAAUAAAAAUAAAAUCAACAUGGCACCAUGCAAUCUGGCGCAAACCACCAACGACUAAAGAUUGAAGUGUACAUAGUAUCUUGAUUUUUCUUUAGUAUGGCCAAACAAGUUACCCACCAAUUAGCCUCAGAGCUUAAAAUUGUUUUUUUUAGAAAUCUAUGUGGGGGUUGACCUCAGCCUCUUGUUCGGGGCCUAAACAUUCUUUCAGUUAACAUGUCAUUACUUUAAAUCUUGACUGAAUGGAGUGUUAGCCAUGUUGUUAUUUUAUUAGAAAUAUGUGCUCUCUAAUUGAUCUUCCCUAUGCACUAUCACAAUUACAUUUUCCUUGAAUCCAUUUUAUAACAUCGUUAUUUUUCUAAUAUUCCUAAAUGGGGUUUAAAUUCUUAUUUGUGCU